CCUACGGGAGGCUGCAGUGAGGAAUAUUGGUCAAUGGGCGCGAGCCUGAACCAGCCAAGUAGCGUGAAGGAUGACUGCCCUACGGGUUGUAAACUUCUUUUAUAAAGGAAUAAAGUGAGGCACGUGUGCCUUUUUGUAUGUACUUUAUGAAUAAGGCUCGGCUAACUCCGUGCCAGCAGCCGCGGUAAUACGGAGGAUCCGAGCGUUAUCCGGAUUUACUGGGUUUAAAGGGAGCGGAGAUGGGUUGUUAAGUCAGUUGUGAAAGUUUGCGGCUCAACCGUAAAAUUGCAAUUGAUACUGGCAGUCUAGAGGACAGUUGAGGUAGGCGGAAUUCGUGGUGUAGCGGUGAAAUGCUUAGAUAUCACGAAGAACUCCGAUUGCGAAGGCAGCUUACUAAACUGCCACUGACAUUGAUGCGCGAAAGUGUGGGUAUCAAACAGGAUUAGAUACCCGUGUAGUC
rnacentral:rRNA from 1 species